CAUGCAAGUCGAACGGAAAGUGCCCUUCGGAGUGACUCGAGUGGCGAACGGGUGAGUAACACGUGGGUGAUCUGCCCUGCACUUUGGGAUAAGCCUGGGAAACUGGGUCUAAUACCGGAUAGGACCAUGGCCUUCAUGGGUUGUGGUGGAAAGCUUUUGCGGUGUGGGAUGGGCCCGCGGCCUAUCAGCUUGUUGGUGGGGUAAUGGCCUACCAAGGCGACGACGGGUAGCCGGCCUGAGAGGGUGUCCGGCCACACUGGGACUGAGAUACGGCCCAGACUCCUACGGGAGGCAGCAGUGGGGAAUAUUGCACAAUGGGCGCAAGCCUGAUGCAGCGACGCCGCGUGAGGGAUGACGGCCUUCGGGUUGUAAACCUCUUUCAGUAGGGACGAAGCGUAAGUGACGGUACCUAUAGAAGAAGCACCGGCCAACUACGUGCCAGCAGCCGCGGUAAUACGUAGGGUGCGAGCGUUGUCCGGAAUUACUGGGAGUAAAGAGCUCGUAGGUGGUUUGUCGCGUUGUUCGUGAAAACUCACA
rnacentral:rRNA from 1 species